AUUGAACGCUGGCGGCAUGCCUUACACAUGCAAGUCGAACGGCAGCACGGGCUUCGGUCUGGUGGCGAGUGGCGAACGGGUGAGUAAAGCAUCGGAACGUACCCGGAAGUGGGGGAUAGCGUAGCGAAAGUUACGCUAAUACCGCAUAUUCUGUGCGCAGGAAAGAGGGGGAUCUUCGGACCUCUUGCUUUCGGAGCGGCCGAUAUCAGAUUAGCUAGUUGGUGGGGUAAAGGCCCACCAAGGCGACGAUCUGUAGCUGGUCUGAGAGGACGACCAGCCACACUGGAACUGCGACACGGUCCAGACUCCUACGGGAGGCAGCAGUGGGGAAUUUUGGACAAUGGGCGCAAGCCUGAUCCAGCAAUGCCGCGUGCAGGAUGAAGGCCUUCGGGUUGUAAACUGCUUUUGUACGGAACGAAAAGACUCUUUCUAAUAAAGAGGGUCCAUGACGGUACCGUAAGAAUAAGCACCGGCUAACUACGUGCCAGCCGCCGCAGUAAUAC
rnacentral:rRNA from 1 species